AACCCCUCCCAUCAUAGGCCUGGAGGCCUAGGAGGGAAAAAUGCUUUCAUGGGCCAGCCUCAGGGCCCUGCUUCUCUGUGCAGCCUUGGGACAUGGUUGCUCCCCAGUCACGCCAGUGCAAGCAGUGACUAAAAAGAGCUUGGGCCAUUGCUUCAGAGGAUGCAAGCCCCAAGCCUUGGCAGCUUCCACCUGGUGUUGGGCCUGUGGGUGCACAGAAGACAAGGGGUGCGCUUUAGAAACCUUUGCCUAGAUUUCAGAGGAUGUAUGGAAAUGCCUGGAUGUCCAGGCAGAAGUCUGCUUCAGAGGUGGAGUACUCAUGGAGAACCUCUGCUAAGGCUUAAAUUCACAAAUGAAGAGGGGGGUCUGGCUCAAUGAAAAUUUAAAAUCCAAAUGUCCUGUACUGUGUUUGGUGCUUAAUAUGCAGCAGCUAUAAUAGAGUGCAUAACCAAAGACAGAAUGUUCAUAAGCCUAGACUGAAAUAAUGCUGGUGGGAAGAGGGCAUUUAAACAUUCCUGAGCAGGUUGAGAAUAAUCGACUCAGAGUGGUUGAGUGAACUCAAGAUGACGCGCUUUUGUUCUCAGGAGAAUCCCCAAAUGGGGUCUGCUUUCCUGCUGGGGGAGCCUCAGCCAGUACCAUUAUCUGUGUGCUUAUAGGUGGCUUGAUCCACAAGCAUGAAAUUUCAUACAGCAUAGCAUCCAACAGGAACCCACUUCAUAACAAGGAGGUUCAUGAAAGGGCCCAUACUCUCAUUCCUGCCAUUCUGAGUUCUGCACGACCUUUUAUGCCAUGAUUAGCAUAGAACUCACAGUACUUAUGAAAUUAGCCAUGGUUCACAGUUCAUCCUUUCUGACUUCGAAUAAGGUUAAGAUAUGAGACUGGGCUGGGCGCGGUGGCUCACGCCUGUAAUGUGCAUGUGGGAUGUCUUGUGUAUAUUGGAAGCAGUUCCAGGAGUGAAUGAACUAAAUUCGUUUCCCUUGAGCUGAUGACUUUUGUUCUAUAUUAAGCAAUUCUUAUAAUGCACUAAAUCUCAAAAUAAAAUUAAUUAAAUGUCCUCUCUAACCCUUCCUCAGAUAAUAUUCUACUUUGAAGAACACCAGUAGACCGAAGCAAGAUGACUAAUUUUUAAUGCCAAAGUAUGCAAAACCUGCCACUUCACUGGCAAGCCAUGAAUUAUUCAUAAAUAUAGACUUGGUUAAUAUCUUUAAAAAUGCAGCAUAUUUUGCCUUGUGAUUUCUAGCUUCGAUAACAGUUUUGGAAUCAUGACAUAUGAACCAAAUUACAACAAGCCCCCAUAUUUAUUUUCUGUAGACUAGGGAAAUAUGUUUACUGACUCAGUAAGAGAUCAUCAAUAGAUACCCGAAAUAAGGAAAUUAAACUCAUCUUUUGCACAGCAGUUUUGCCAGUAUUUGUGCUAGGAACACUGAAAUAAAGAAUGUAUCAUUUUAGGGAAAUGUUUAUUAUCUGUUUUAACAGCUGAAGAAUAUUAUUCAGUGGUUUCUCACUAGCUUUGCCUAAAAAUUUUGAUUAAAUUGUGGGCCUCUCCACUGAGCAGGAGACACUAAUAUCAAAUGUGUGUGCAUAAACUGGAAUGACAAAUCCCUUAGUCUCAGAAUCAUUGAGCUGGAAGGGGUACCCCACCACCAUCUCUCCCUAUAGCUAGUUUAGACUUAAGUU
rnacentral:lncRNA from 1 species